rnacentral:rRNA from 1 species
UUUCCUUUGGGGGGAAGGCAAGCCAGUUGGGGGAAAUNAUUNGCNCCAAAUGGGGGGAAAAAACCCUUGAUUGCAGCCNAUGCCGGCGUGUGUNGAAGAAGGCCUUCGGGUUGUNAAAGCACNUUUCAGCGAGGAGNAAAGNUUGGCAGCUAAUAUCUGUCAGCUGUGACGUUACUCGCAGAAGAAGCACCGGCUAAUUCCGUGCCAGCAGCCGCGGUAAUACGGAGGNUGCAAGCGUUAAUCGGAAUUACUGGGCGUAAAGCGCACGCAGGCGGUUGGAUAAGUUAGAUGUGAAAGCCCCGGGCUCAACCUGGGAAUUGCAUUUAAAACUGUUCAGCUAGAGUCUUGUAGAGGGGGGUAGAAUUCCAGGUGUAGCGGUGAAAUGCGUAGAGAUCUGGAGGAAUACCGGUGGCGAAGGCGGCCCCCUGGACAAAGACUGACGCUCAGGUGCGAAAGCGUGGGGAGCAAACAGGAUUAGAUACCCUGGUAGUCCACGCCGUAAACGAUGUCGAUUUGGAGGCUGUGUCCUUGAGACGUGGCUUCCGGAGCUAACGCGUUAAAUCGACCGCCUGGGGAGUACGGCCGCAAGGUUAAAACUCAAAUGAAUUGACGGGGGCCCGCACAAGCGGUGGAGCAUGUGGUUUAAUUCGAUGCAACGCGAAGAACCUUACCUGGCCUUGACAUGUCUGGAAUCCUGUAGAGAUACGGGAGUGCCUUCGGGAAUCAGAACACAGGUGCUGCAUGGCUGUCGUCAGCUCGUGUUC